AACGAACGCUGGCGGCAUGCCUAACACAUGCAAGUCGAACGAUACCUUCCGGCCUAGUGGCGCACGGGUGCGUACCGCGUGGGAACCUGCCCUUAGGUUCGGAAUCACUCCCCGUAAGGGGUGCUAAUACCGGAUAAUGUCUUCGGACCAAAGAUGUAUCGCCUUUGGAUGGGGCCGCGUUGGAUUAGCUAGUUGGUAGGGUAAAAGCCUACUAAGGCGACGAUGCAUAGCUGGUCUGAGAGGAUGAUCUGCCACACUGGGACUGAGACACGGCCCAGAAUCCUACGGGAGGGGGGAGAGGGGAAUAUAGGACAAUGGGCGAAAGCCUGAUCCAGCAAUGCCGGGUGAGUGAUGAAGGCCGUAGGGUAGUAAAGCUGUUUUACCCGGGAUGAUAAUGACAGUACCGGGAGAAUAAGCACCGGCUAACUCCGUG
rnacentral:rRNA from 1 species